GUUGUGGCUUCUCGCGUCGCGGAACACAGGCUCCGGACACACAGGCUCAGUGGCCAUGGCUCACGGGCCCAGCUGCUCCGCGGCAUGUGGGAUCUUCCUGGACCGGGGCAUGAACCCGUGUCCCCUGCAUCGGCAGGCGGACUCUCAACCACUGCGCCACCAGGGAAGCCCAACAUGUAUAGUUUGAUAAGUCUGUUUGAAUAGCUUAAAUGAUAAGAGCCGUCAUCUGAUUACUAGGAACUAGGUACUCUUCUAAACAUUUUAAAGUUUUUUCGAAGUACACUUUACAGACAAUAACAUGUACCCUUGUAAGUUACAAGCUGUUGAUUUUUAGUAAAUUUAUAGAGUUGUGCAGCUGUCACCACAAUCUAGUUUUAGAAGAUAUCCGUCACCCCCAAAGUUCCUUUCUGCCUGUUUGCAGCCAAUCUCUGCUCCCACCGCCAGCCCCAGGCAACCACUAUAAACAUUUUAUAUUUAUUAACUACUUUACUCCUUGUGGCAAUCCUGUAAGAUAGGUUACUAUCAUCAUCUCAGCUUCACUGGUGAAGAAAGUGAGGCAGAGAGAGCCCAGGCUGUCGGGAGCCGGAUCCCUCUGAGCCACUCCAGACCUGAGCCACAUGCACAUGAGAAUCACCUGAAGGGCUUGUUUUAGGACACAGGCAGCCGGGCCCACCCUCAGAAUUCCUGGUUCCUUCUGACUGGGGUGAGGCCCCCAGAUCUGCACUUCCAACAAGUUUUCACUGAUGCUGCUGGUCAGGGGACCCUGCUUUGAGAACCACUUGUCUAUACAGCCUUGAACGUUGUGAGAAAGAAUCACUCUUGCGAUGGGUCUGUUUUAUAUGCUUGGCCCAGACUGUACCAAAGCAUUCUUGGCAAAGCAAAUAUCCCUAGUUCUCGGGGAAGGAAAUGUGCGCUGUGAGAGUAAAUUAUCAUCAUAACCACUAACUACCGUCCGGAAAGUGAGGUUUGCAAUCAUCUUUGCAGGGGCCUUGCGGCCUGUUUUGUGUGCAUGCACCUUAUUUGUCGAUCAUUUUGUAACUUUUAGUUCGAAUGAAUUAACAUCACGUGACUCUGCUAUUUCCAUUUCUGCCUUUUAAAAAGUAGACAGCUAUCACAACAGCAGGAAGCAGACCCAAACUUUGUUCUUAUGCCUCUAGUCACAGGCAAAAAUGGAAAAGGUAAUUUACCCAAAUAGAAGAAAAAAGAAAAGAAAAAAAAAAAGACUGAAAAAACAGUACUGACUCACUGCAGACUGCUGCAAAAUGUUGCCCUUGGGAUAGAGGUUAACUCAGUUGUGAAAUAAUGGCCAGCGCUCACCCUCCUCGUAACUUUCCUUAGCCCUGGAGGAGGCUCCUCCCUUUGACGCGAGAUGCCUGCAGUUCAGCAGCUGGCUCAGCCGGAGGAGGAGGCCCGGAUUGAAAGCUCUCCGUUUGUACAGACUCAUUUGCGUUUGUAACGCUUUCAUUUUAAAUCUCCUCUAAUCUAAAUGUAAAUAUUUUGGUGUCUUUUUCUCUGUUUUUUUAAAACCAAAAUAUUUUAGUGAAUAUGAGUCUACAUAAAGGUGAGUCGGUGGCUUCUCAUCCCUCCUAAAAGACGAAGCAGAAGUAGUAGAUGACACCAAAGAGGGAUGCAGAAUUAGAACCCAUCAAGAACCUGGGCAAAGGUCAAUUGGAGGUCCCACUUCAGAAGUUUUUUGGAAUGCAGGGGAAGAAUUACUUAGAAAAGGUUCCCUUGCUGGGAGAGGAGGUGGUCCGAUAUGUUCUUACAAGAAGCCAGCAGCUUCCUGCUCCUCCGUAACUGCUCAGACAGACCGUCAUUUUUCUAAACAGCCAAAAACGGUGGAGUCAGCAGAAGGGUGUCUGCUGUCUCGCGCAGUGGAGUGCACAACUGAAGUGGCCCUAGGGCCGGCCCCCUUGAACUUCUGAAUGUGGGUGAGGACUCUCCCGGCAUUCUCAGACCUCCAGAGGCCUCCUGGAUGGACACAGGGUGCCUUGGAGGCCUGCCCUGCUGCGCCGCCAGCCAGCGCCUGUCCAGAGGCAGUAGACUAGAAAUGUCCCUUUUAGAGCCUUCAAGAUUCCACCAGCCCCUCUGAACAGAGCCCUUCUCAGUACCUGUGAGCCACAGACCAAGGAGAGAACUAACCCACUCAAAGGUAACGUGGUUCUUAAGGCUAACUAACGCUCGCCUUGAUCAAACCCUGCCACCCCUACAGAUGCUGUUCCUGAACCAGCUGUGUUUGCCUGAUGCACAGCAAGCCAAAUGCUGAGAUGCCCGGGUUUGCAGCCCAGAAAGAGUUUAGUCACAAGACCGCCAAGCCAGGAGACAGGAGAACAAGUCUCAGAUCCGCCUCCCUGAAGGCGAGGAGGUUGGGACGUUUAUGGGGUAAGCAGGGUGGUCGUAGGCCUGGAGAAAGCUGAGUGGAGGCGGGGAAAGGUGAGCUGACGCCCAGUUCUGUAAAACACAUGGGCUCCCUGAAGCUGGGAAGGUAUGCGACGAAAGAGAGGGAAAGAAAGAAAGAAAAGUAACUGAAGUGAACUUCAUCAGUGAAGGCAGUUUACAAGCAGGUGGGCUUCAAGAAGCCAUUCCCCUGUCUGUUGCUGUGCAAGGCAAGCUCGAGUCCCUGUUAGCCUUCAGCUUCCGUUAACUCUGUGGGGCGUGGUUUCAGUACCACAGCCCCAGCUGUCUCACACUCCCAGUGUAACUCGAGAAAACUCUCUUGUGGUCCGGGUUUGGAUAUUUAGAACCAAUCAGAAUAAAAGCUGAAGGCAUUGGUCAUCCACACAUGUGCAAACCCCAACCUUCUGGGCGUGAGUGCUGCUUGACUAUUGCAGGACGUUAACCAUUCUCCCGUCUUUCAGGAAACAUGAUGCCCUUCAGUCCCGUGCCUGGAGAGUGCUGUUCUCCUCCUCUCCCAGCCCUGUACUUGCUUGCUUUCAGCUUCUCUUCAAAGGAGACUUUAAAAUGAGCGCCAGUUCCCCGUCAUUCAGAGAGCAAUGGCAGUGGCAACACACGCUGACUUACCCAGGCAAGGGGCAGCAGAUAACAGUGAAAGCGGCCAGGACUUUUCCAGGCUCCUGUCAACAAACUGACUCUCUAAGAGUCUUCAAAUUAAAUUCAUACCAAGACGUUUGCUUUGUUCUCCUAUCAGUGAGGUCAUCUUUGCAAGUGGUGUUUCUGGGGUGGGAGCAAUUUGAAGACCCAGCUCCGUGAUGUCGGCACACUUCUUUGCGGUAGAGAAAAAUAUCUUUUGCC